rnacentral:rRNA from 1 species
GGGUUGUGAGGUUAAGCGACUAAGCGUACACGGUGGAUGCCCUGGCAGUCAGAGGCGAUGAAGGACGUGCUAAUCUGCGAAAAGCGUCGGUAAGGUGAUAUGAACCGUUAUAGCCGGCGAUGUCCGAAUGGGGAAACCCAGUGCAAUUCGUUGCACUAUCGUUAACUGAAUACAUAGGUUAACGAGGCGAACCGGGGGAACUGAAACAUCUAAGUACCCCGAGGAAAAGAAAUCAACCGAGAUUCCCCCAGUAGCGGCGAGCGAACGGGGAGCAGCCCAGAGUCUGAAUCAGCUUGUGUGUUAGUGGAACGGUCUGGAAAGUCCGACGGUACAGGGUGAUAGUCCCGUACACCAAAAUGCACAGGCUGUGAACUCGAAGAGUAGGGCGGGACACGUGGUAUCCUGUCUGAAUAUGGGGGGACCAUCCUCCAAGGCUAAAUACUCCUGACUGACCGAUAGUGAACCAGUACCGUGAGGGAAAGGCGAAAAGAACCCCGGCGAGGGGAGUGAAAAAGAACCUGAAACCGUGUACGUACAAGCAGUGGGAGCACCUUCGGGUGUGACUGCGUACCUUUUGUAUAAUGGGUCAGCGACUUAUAUUCUGUAGCAAGGUUAACCGUAUAGGGGAGCCGCAGGGAAACCGAGUCUUAACUGGGCGUUAAGUUGCAGGGUAUAGACCCGAAACCCGGUGAUCUAGCCAUGGGCAGGUUGAAGGUUGGGUAACACUAACUGGAGGACCGAACCGACUAAUGUUGAAAAAUUAGCGGAUGACUUGUGGCUGGGGGUGAAAGGCCAAUCAAACCGGGAGAUAGCUGGUUCUCCCCGAAAGCUAUUUAGGUAGCGCCUCGUGAACUCAUCUUCGGGGGUAGAGCACUGUUUCGGCUAGGGGGUCAUCCCGACUUACCAACCCGAUGCAAACUACGAAUACCGAAGAAUGUUAUCACGGGAGACACACGGCGGGUGCUAACGUCCGUCGUGAAGAGGGAAACAACCCAGACCGCCAGCUAAGGUCCCAAAGUCAUGGUUAAGUGGGAAACGAUGUGGGAAGGCACAGACAGCCAGGAUGUUGGCUUAGAAGCAGCCAUCAUUUAAAGAAAGCGUAAUAGCUCACUGGUCGAGUCGGCCUGCGCGGAAGAUGUAACGGGGCUAAACCAUGCACCGAAGCUGCGGCAGCGACACUAUGUGUUGUUGGGUAGGGGAGCGUUCUGUAAGCCUGCGAAGGUGUGCUGUGAGGCAUGCUGGAGGUAUCAGAAGUGCGAAUGCUGACAUAAGUAACGAUAAAGCGGGUGAAAAGCCCGCUCGCCGGAAGACCAAGGGUUCCUGUCCAACGUUAAUCGGGGCAGGGUGAGUCGACCCCUAAGGCGAGGCCGAAAGGCGUAGUCGAUGGGAAACAGGUUAAUAUUCCUGUACUUGGUGUUACUGCGAAGGGGGGACGGAGAAGGCUAUGUUAGCCGGGCGACGGUUGUCCCGGUUUAAGCAUGUAGGCUGGUUGUCCAGGCAAAUCCGGAUAAUCAAGGCUGAGGUGUGAUGACGAGGCACUACGGUGCUGAAGUAACAAAUGCCCUGCUUCCAGGAAAAGCCUCUAAGCAUCAGGUAACAUCAAAUCGUACCCCAAACCGACACAGGUGGUCAGGUAGAGAAUACCAAGGCGCUUGAGAGAACUCGGGUGAAGGAACUAGGCAAAAUGGUGCCGUAACUUCGGGAGAAGGCACGCUGGUGUGUAGGUGAAGUCCCUGCGGAUGGAGCUGAGACCAGUCGAAGAUACCAGCUGGCUGCAACUGUUUAUUAAAAACACAGCACUGUGCAAACACGAAAGUGGACGUAUACGGUGUGACGCCUGCCCGGUGCCGGAAGGUUAAUUGAUGGGGUUAUCCGUAAGGAGAAGCUCUUGAUCGAAGCCCCGGUAAACGGCGGCCGUAACUAUAACGGUCCUAAGGUAGCGAAAUUCCUUGUCGGGUAAGUUCCGACCUGCACGAAUGGCGUAAUGAUGGCCAGGCUGUCUCCACCCGAGACUCAGUGAAAUUGAACUCGCUGUGAAGAUGCAGUGUACCCGCGGCAAGACGGAAAGACCCCGUGAACCUUUACUAUAGCUUGACACUGAACAUUGAGCCUUGAUGUGUAGGAUAGGUGGGAGGCUUUGAAGCGUGGACGCCAGUCUGCGUGGAGCCAACCUUGAAAUACCACCCUUUAAUGUUUGAUGUUCUAACGUUGGCCCCUUACCGGGGUUGCGGACAGUGUCUGGUGGGUAGUUUGACUGGGGCGGUCUCCUCCCAAAGCGUAACGGAGGAGCACGAAGGUUAGCUAAUCCUGGUCGGACAUCAGGAGGUUAGUGCAAUGGCAUAAGCUAGCUUGACUGCGAGCGUGACGGCGCGAGCAGGUGCGAAAGCAGGUCAUAGUGAUCCGGUGGUUCUGAAUGGAAGGGCCAUCGCUCAACGGAUAAAAGGUACUCCGGGGAUAACAGGCUGAUACCGCCCAAGAGUUCAUAUCGACGGCGGUGUUUGGCACCUCGAUGUCGGCUCAUCACAUCCUGGGGCUGAAGUAGGUCCCAAGGGUAUGGCUGUUCGCCAUUUAAAGUGGUACGCGAGCUGGGUUUAGAACGUCGUGAGACAGUUCGGUCCCUAUCUGCCGUGGGCGCUGGAGAAUUGAGGGGGGCUGCUCCUAGUACGAGAGGACCGGAGUGGACGCAUCACUGGUGUUCGGGUUGUCAUGCCAAUGGCACUGCCCGGUAGCUAAAUGCGGAAGAGAUAAGUGCUGAAAGCAUCUAAGCACGAAACUUGCCCCGAGAUGAGUUCUCCCUGAGACUUUAAGUCUCCUGAAGGAACGUUAAAGACGAUGACGUUGAUAGGCCGGGUGUGUAAGCGCAGCGAUGCGUUGAGCUAACCGGUACUAAUGAACCGUGAGGCUUAACCUUACAACGCCGAAG